CAUAAAAAUACAGACUCACCAGUUCCUGCUUUGAUGUGACAUGUGACUCCCCAGAAUACAUCUUGCUUCUGUAGACCAGCUCCAACAGGAUUCCAUGGUAGCUGGAAUGUUAGGGCUCAGAUGCUGCUGGAUUGAACUUCCACAUGUGCCAGUCUUUUCGAAGAACAGCUGCCUAGACUCGGAAUUGCUGAGGGUACCACCACAUCGCCUCCUAAAGUGGCUGUUGCGGUUCCCAUGACAGUAUGAGAAAGUGCCUCUUCCCACACCCUCCCAGAAUUGGAUGCCCAUCUUUUAAAUCUGUGCUCCUUGGGUUGUUACUGGGGCCGGACCUCAGUAAUCAUCAGCCAUUUGUAUUUGGUGUUUGGGAGUUGCUUGCCUGUUGGUGUUCUGCCUUCGUUCCUCCGUCAGGAUAUUUGUUUUUCAGUUGAUCUGUAAGAACUUGUAAUGUGUCCAGGAUACUCUCUGUCAUUACACAGAUACUCCUACCUUGUCAUAUAUCUUUUGAUUCUGCUUGUCUUUUUUGAUAUACAAAAUUUCUGUUAGGAUUUUUUCUUUCGCUUUUAUACUUAGAAAAAGUCCUUUCCUACCUUAAGAACAUGUCAGUAUCCAUCCGUAUAUUUUUCUUCCUAUAAAAAGAUUGAUGUACUAUAUUGAUACAUACAAAAGAAUUAUAGGUAAGUUUUCCUGUUUUUCAUAUGGUUAUAAAAAUGCCUCUUUCGUGUGUAGCUUUGGGUCGGGAUGAGAUCUAGAGCCCACUUAGCUGGUUGUGUCAUAGCUGUUAGGUGGGGCAGUCGCCUCGUCUCUACCUUUAGUGAAGUCUUCACUUUGAGACUUGAGUUCGAGUGAGCAAAGUGUCUCUUACUUUUUUCUUUCUGAAGUUUUUCUUUGUGAGACUUGAUGGCUAGCUGGUCAGCAUAUAAUCAUCUGUUCAUUCCCCCAACAAGUCCUGGAGCCCCUGAUUCAAGGCAGAGGCAGUCUGGGGCCCUGCAAGUGCCGCUUUCUCCUUGGCUUGGGCGGGGCCAAAGAGGCUGCAGUACCAGUGGCUACGGCUCCAGUGCUCAUUCCAGAAGACUCGAGAAAAUAGUGGAUCUUCACAAAGUAGGUUUGGGAUAAACUAGGAGGAAUCCAGAGUGUGUGUGUGUAUGUGCGUGCAUAUAUGCGUGCGUGCGUGUGUGUGUUUUAGAUUCUGACCCAGAAGUGAGAGCUUAGGGUAGACUGCAACAUAAGCGCCGUUUGUUUCCUAACUCGUGUCAUUGCAGGCUGAUUUUUGUCUUGAAUUAUGAUGAGGGCUUUUUGCUGGUGAAACAGUUCUAUAUUCAGCUAGCUUGGUUGUGAUGGAAUAAAAGUUGUGUACUGAUAAAAAUGGUAAUUUUCUUCUAUGAUGAUUUUGAAGCAUUUCUGUAAUAGCUCAUAAAAAUAAAGGCAGGCUUUUGGUGAAUAUAUUCUUAGGGAAAAAGUAAUUUUUUGCAGCUUGCAUCGUUUAAAUCUAAUAAAUAACCUUAAAACUGAAGUGGAAUCCUGA